AUUGAACGCUGGCGGCAGGCCUAACACAUGCAAGUCGAACGAGUGGCGGACGGGUGAGUAAUGUCUGGGAAACUGCCUGAUGGAGGGGGAUAACCACUGGAAACCGUAGCUAAUACCGCAUACCCUCGGAUGUGCCCAGCUGGGAUUAGCUAGUAGGUGGGGUAAAGGCUCACCUAGGCGACGAUCCCUAGCUGGUCUGAGAGGAUGACCAGCCACACGGGAACUGAGACACGGUCCAGACGCCUACGGAAGGCAGCAGGGGGGAAUAUUGGACAAGGGGCGCAAGCCUGAUGCAGCCAGGCCGCUGGGAUGAAGAAGGCCUUCGGGUUGUAAAGUACUUUCAGCGGGGAGGCGUUACCCGCAUAAGAAGCACCGGCUAACUCCGUGCCAGCAGCCGCGGUAAUUC
rnacentral:rRNA from 1 species